GCAUUGGUGGCCCAGUGGUAGAGCUCUCGCCUGUCACGCCAGCGGCCCGGGUUCGGUCCCAGCCGAUGCC
rnacentral:tRNA from 1 species